AUCUAUGGCCAUACUACCCUGAACACAUCCAGAGUCUCUGAUCUUGGCAGACAAGCAGGGCCUGGUUAGGACUUGGAUUGGAGGCUGCCUGGGAAUACCAAGGGCUGUAGACU
rnacentral:rRNA from 1 species